GGGACCUCAAUGCUGGGAUGUCAGGCUGAGGCGUCAUCCCUGGUAAUGCACCAUUUGUGCAGAUGGUGAAGUUCAACUUCAUGGCCCACUGGUGUCCAUCCACGCUGGGCCUUAGUGUCUGAGAAGGGAACCAUACAACGUCCCGUUAUCCCCAGGGCCAUCCUGAUGUCCUGAAGUCCUAUCUGCCCUGUCAUCUCCAUCAGACCCUGUCAUGGCUCUCUGAUCCAGGAACUAUGUAUGAUCCAGCUUCUCAUCCAGCAGCUCUGGACCUCAGCUCUCACGUCUGUUAGAUGGGAAAAAUUGAGUUCCUGCACAGCAUCUUCAGGGGGUUAUUGCAAAGAUCAGAUGAGAUGAUGGUGUGAGAAGAACCAGCACCAACGUUGUUAUUGGCGUUAUCUUUUCACUGGGACAGAUAUGCUCUCGGGCUUGUAUCUGAGCAGCUAUUUAUUGGAAGCUUAUACAUUGAAAGAAAACAACAUUAUUGAGAUUAUUGCUUGAAUUCUAAUUCUGAUUUCCAGCCCUAAUCUUUCUUUUAAGCUGCAGACUCAAACAUCCACCUGCAAGCUGGAAUGGUCAGUCCAUGGAUGAAAUGAACAUUGGCAGAGGAGGCUCGUGUUGAAGGAGUGCUAAGUGACGUGGCCACUGGGGCCAAGGUUCCUCUCCCUGAACUCAAACGCUGCUUCCUGUGAGGUGAAAGCACAGGACUUUGGGGGCCUGAUUUUUCUGUAUAAUGUGCUCAGCAUUAGAGCUGCCGGGGAGGCAGAGAAGACGGACGACAAGUGCCACUGCCUAUGCUGCUCUCCUUUCCUCUCUGCAUCUUCGCAGCAGUAACCAGGAUGAACAGAGAGCUGGGGUCUCACUGAGCUUGGUAACCAGGUGCCUGCAGGGACAGUUGGGCUUCCUGCCCUUCUUUCUGAGCAGUCCGAGUCCUCCCCUAGUCAUGGAUUCCAGGUCAGAGAACCACAAGGGGACGUGUGUUGUUGGUGAGUAAAUUCCUCUGAAAUAGGGAGAGGUAUGGAUGGAAGGUCACAUUUGUCUG
rnacentral:lncRNA from 1 species